UCUCUCUCUCUCUCUCUCUCUCUCUCUCCCUCUCCCUCUCCCGUCCUCGAUCUCUCUCCCUCAUACUCUCUCGAUCUCUCUCCCUUCCUCUCCCUUCCCCUCUCAAUCUCCCUCUCUUACCUCUCUCUUGAUCUCUCUUUCCCUCGUUUUCUUCAAUGAGUUGUUCCUUCUUCGAUCUCUCUCCAACAAUCGAAGAAAAUAGAAGAAAGAAGAGAAAAUCGAAGGUACGAAUUCCAAAUGUAGUAUGGAUUGAUCGGAUGGUCAGUGGGAGCGACAUUGGGUUAUGCACGUACUGUAAAUAUCAGCCGUUGGGUUUGUAUUAUUCCAUUACAUUCUAUUGUUUGUGCAUUCUUUCAUUUGUCAAUACAAGUUUGGAUGUUCCCAACACUUAAGUGUUUACAAUUAUUAUCCCUUGCCACGUUAACUUUGAAAGUAAAUCUUAGUGCUGCUUUUUUUUUUAAAAAUUAUUAUUAUUAACUUUUCUAACAACUAGUGCUAUAGAUGGACUUUGCCUUUCAUAGUAGUACCAACGGCUAUUGGAGCUUCCCUAGAUAUAAAUCUGAGCAAUGUGUCCCUUUUUUUCAUAUUCGUGACAUUUGCCACCAUGGUUGGUCUGUUAUUCCC